rnacentral:rRNA from 1 species
CAUGCAAGUCGAACGGAGCUUUUCGGAGCUUAGUGGCGGACGGGUGAGUAACGCGUGAGAAUCUGCCUUUUGGACCGGGACAACUGCUGGAAACGGCAGCUAAGACCGGAUGUGCCCUUGGGUGAAAUAUUCAUAGCCAAAAGAGGAGCUCGCGACCGAUUAGCUAGUUGGUGGGGUAAGAGCCUACCAAGGCUGCGAUCGGUAGCCGGUUUGAGAGGACGACCGGCCACACUGGGACUGAGACACGGCCCAGACUCCUACGGGAGGCAGCAGUGGGGAAUUUUCCGCAAUGGGCGAAAGCCUGACGGAGCAAUACCGCGUGAGGGAGGAAGGCUCUUGGGUCGUAAACCUCUUUUCUCAGGGAAGAAGCAAUGACGGUACCUGAGGAAUCAGCAUCGGCUAACUCCGUGCCAGCAGCCGCGGUAAUACGGAGGAUGCAAGCGUUAUCCGGAAUGAUUGGGCGUAAAGCGUCCGCAGGUGGCACAUCAAGUCUGCUGUCAAAGCCCCCAGCUUAACUGGGAAGAGGCGGUGGAAACUGGUGAGCUAGAUAGCAAUAGGGGUAGAGGGAAUUCCCGGUGUAGCGGUGAAAUGCGUAUAGAUCGGGAAGAACACCAGUGGCGAAAGCGCUCUACUAGGUUGCAACUGACACUGAGGGACGAAAGCUAGGGGAGCGAAUGGGAUUAGAUACCCCAAAAAUCCUAGCCGUAAACGAUGGAUACUAGGCGUUUCUCGUAUCGACCCGAGGAGUGCCGGAGCCAACGCGUUAAGUAUCCCGCCUGGGGAGUACGCACGCAAGUGUGAACUCACACGAAUUUGACGGGGCCCGCACAAGCGGUG